rnacentral:rRNA from 1 species
CCUACGGGAGGCAGCAGUGGGGAAUAUUGCACAAUGGGCGCAAGCCUGAUGCAGCCAUGCCGCGUGUGUGAAGAAGGCCUUCGGGUUGUAAAGCACUUUCAGCGGGGAGGAAGGCGUUAAGGUUAAUAACCUUGGCGAUUGACGUUACCCGCAGAAGAAGCACCGGCUAACUCCGUGCCAGCAGCCGCGGUAAUACGGAGGGUGCAAGCGUUAAUCGGAAUUACUGGGCGUAAAGCGCACGCAGGCGGUCUGUCAAGUCGGAUGUGAAAUCCCCGGGCUCAACCUGGGAACUGCAUUCGAAACGGGCAGGCUAGAGUCUUGUAGAGGGGGGUAGAAUUCCAGGUGUAGCGGUGAAAUGCGUAGAGAUCUGGAGGAAUACCGGUGGCGAAGGCGGCCCCCUGGACAAGGCUGACGCUCAGGUGCGAAAGCGUGGGGAGCAAACAGGAUUAGAUACCCCGGUAGUC